GGAAAUGUGGACGAAAGUUGGGAGCAGCAAACUUAAAAGGAUGCCAAAAUACGAAAGGAUACGUGUCAAAUGCUUUUCCAGAAUCGCAGCUGUGAUGCAUGGUCGACUUUUUUGGAAGGAAUGUUGAACAGCCAGCAGGUCGUCCUCGUCCACAAGUCCGACGUCAUCCGUGCGUGGGUCCCGCAUCCUUCAUCUUCAGCCGUCGUUUGUCGGGAUGCGACAAGUAGCGCUUGAAAAAAAACCAAACCAUUUGGGCUAUUUUGCCAA